rnacentral:lncRNA from 1 species
GGGAGUUCUUCGUUGUUUUCACUAUACUUUUAGAGAAUUACAUAUUACAAGUGAACAAUCAUGAUGCCUUUAAUGCUUGCUAACCUUCUAUUUAUAGAUGUGAGAGUGAGCCCUACAGGCCCUAGGCCCAUGAACACUAAUAAUUGGAUUUAGGCCCUUUAAUGCCUUAAUACACUUUAGUUUUGACUUGAUCCAUUUGCGAUGUCCUUCGUUGCUCAUGUUGAGUAGCUCCCUUGAGCUGCGCAGGCUAGUCUUUGCUGCCGAGUAACCUGGGUAGUCUGCGCCGCCAAGUCCCGUAGUCUGCGCUGGCGAGUCCCUUAAUCUGCGCUGCCGAGUAAUCUGGGUAAUUUGCGCCGCCAAGUCCCGUAGUCUGCGCUGGCGAGUCCCUUAAUCUGCGCCGCCAAAUCCCGUAGUCUGCGCUGGCGAGUCCCUUUAUUAUCUAAGGUCUUCAAUUAAACCUGCACUGGUUGGCCUCGUUCAAUAAGAAUAAUGAUAACAGUAAUAGUAAUCAAGUAAGAUGUUUCUGUAUUGCUAAGUACAGCGCUGAUGAGUAUUCUAGUCCUCAUCAG